UUGUCAUUUUACUGGACUAGCUAGAAGAAUUGCCAAUGCAUGACCAUAAGAGUGUUUUUCCACCUUCCACUCUUCACUUACCUCUCUUUCUCGUCUAAAUCUUUCCAUUUUCUCUCUUACACGAGACAUCAUGGAUCCUUACAAGGUUCUUAUUCUACCCGUCUCCCUCUUCAAAACAAAUUCAUGUCUCUGCUUAAUACAAGUAAAAAAAAAAUGAUGUGUUUAAUUUUCUGGUCUGAAAUUCACAUAUAUUCCUGUUAAAUAUGUUUCAAACUCUCUUUGAUUUUCGUUGUUGGGUACUCUAUACAGUUUUGAUGUCUCUUUUUGAUGCGUUUUCAUGAUGCAGUAUCGUCCAUCAAGUUCUUACAACUCUCCGUUCUUCACUACAAAUUCUGGUGCUCCAGUUUGGAAUAAUAACUCAUCGCUUACUGUUGGUUCCAGAGGUAAAAGUUUGUCAUGCUUUUUGGACCUCUUUCAUGUCUGAGUUCAUUAUAGAGUGCUUUAGGUGAUGGCUUGAGCUUUAGUGAGGUAUUUUUACACCUUUUGGUUGAUUUGGGUUUUGUAGUUUCUAAUUCAGCUUACUUGCGAUGCAUUGAAACCAAGUUAGUUUGUGAAUACUAUGCAAAUCUCAGAGUUUGAAGUAGAACUUCUCUUUUGAAGGUCCGAUUCUGCUUGAGGACUAUCAUUUGGUGGAGAAACUUGCUAAUUUUGACAGGGAAAGAAUCCCAGAGCGUGUUGUUCAUGCUAGAGGUGCGAGUGCUAAAGGGUUUUUUGAAGUGACCAAUGAUAUAUCUCAUCUCACUUGUGCUGAUUUCCUUAGAGCCCCUGG
rnacentral:lncRNA from 1 species